GUUUUUAUAGUUUAUACAAAACACUAG
rnacentral:tRNA from 1 species